CCUACGGGAGGCAGCAGUGAGGAAUAUUGGUCAAUGGGCGCGAGCCUGAACCAGCAAAGUCGCGUGAGGGAUGAAGGUUCUAUGGAUCGUAAACCUCUUUUAUAAGGGAAUAAAGUGUGGGACGUGUCCUAUUUUGUAUGUACCUUAUGAAUAAGGAUCGGCUAACUCCGUGCCAGCAGCGGCGGUAAGAUGGAGGGUCGGAGCGUUAUCCGGAUUUAGUGGGUUGAAAGGGUGCGUAGGCGGCCUUUUAGGCUAGCGGUGAAAGUCUGUGGCUCAACCAUAGCAUUGCCGUUGAAACUGGGGGGCUUGAGUAUGUUUGAGGCAGGCGGAAUGCGUGGUGUAGCGGUGAAAUGCUUAGAUAUCACGCAGAACCCCGAUUGCGAAGGCAGCCUGCCAAGCCAUGACUGACGCUGAUGCACGAAAGCGUGGGGAUCAAACAGGAUUAGAUACCCGUGUAGUC
rnacentral:rRNA from 1 species